UGUUCCGAUCAUACCAGCACUAAUGCACCGGAUCCCAUCAGAACUCCGCAGUUAAGCGUGCUUGGGCGAGAGUAGUACUAGGAUGGGUGACCCCCUGGGAAGUCCUCAUGUUGCAACCC
rnacentral:rRNA from 1 species